AACAAUAUCUACUUUGCCAGAGAUGAAGGUAGCUCUGGGGAACAGGUACCUAAUAUGAUAACAACUAUUACUCUGACCUUCCCCCAUCCUGUCUCAGGAAUACAGCUGGCAUUGCAUGAGAAGAUCUGCAAGGAGGAAUUACGUCAAGAAAAGCAGCAGGCACAAGAACAUGGCAGAUUCAGGCAGAGAUGAAUAUGGAGCAGAGAAGCCACGUCAGACUGGACUUGGUACUUCUUUCUAGUUGCUUCAAGAAAAUACCUGGCAGAAGCAGCCUAAGGAGGGAUUGUUUUUACCUCACAGUCCAUCAUGGCAGCCAGAUGCCACAGCAAGAAGAUCCCAGAGUGUCUUGUUGCAUCCACAGUAAGGGAGAGAUGAAUGAUGCUAUUCUCCUCCUUUUUAUUCAGUCUGGGACCUCGGGCCAUAGAAUGGCACCACACACAUUUAAGGCUUCCAAGCAAGUUCAUUAAAAUGUCAUCUAUCAAACAUGAAAAUCUACAUGCUGAUCUAUCACCAGUUUAUAUUAUAGUACCCACCCUUUUUUUCUAGCAAGCAUCUUUCAUAAACAAUAUCUGUGAG
rnacentral:lncRNA from 1 species